CCUACGGGGGGCAGCAGUGGGGAAUAUUGGACAAUGGGCGAAAGCCUGAUCCAGCCAUGCCGCGUGUGUGAAGAAGGCCUUCGGGUUGUAAAGCACUUUCAGUGGGGAAGAAAGCCUUGGGGCUAAUACCCUCGAGGAAGGACAUCACCCACAGAAGAAGCACCGGCUAACUCCGUGCCAGCAGCCGCGGUAAUACGGAGGGUGCGAGCGUUAAUCGGAAUUACUGGGCGUAAAGCGCGCGUAGGCGGUCUGAUAAGCCGGUUGUGAAAGCCCCGGGCUCAACCUGGGAACGGCAUCCGGAACUGUCAGGCUAGAGUGCAGGAGAGGAAGGGAGAAUUCCCGGUGUAGCGGUGAAAUGCGUAGAGAUCGGGAGGAAUACCAGUGGCGAAGGCGGCCUUCUGGACUGACACUGACGCUGGGGUGCGAAAGCGUGGGUAGCAAACAGGAAUAAACCCCAGUAGUC
rnacentral:rRNA from 1 species